rnacentral:rRNA from 1 species
UGACCUUAGUACGAGAGGACCGGGUCGGACGCACCUCCGGUGCACCAGUUGUUCUGCCAAGGGCAUAGCUGGGUAGCCGCGUGCGGUUGCGAUAAACGCUGAAGGCAUCUAAGCGUGAAACGUGCUUCAAGAUGAGAUAUCCCAUCAUUUUAAAUGAGUAAGGUUGCUUGUAGACUACAAGCUUGAUAGGUCGGAGGUGUAAGUGCAGUAAUGCAUUCAGCUGACCGAUACUAAUUUCCGAGGGCUUGAACCU